ensembl:lincRNA
AUGGCUAAAAGAAGGGUGUAUCCACGGGAGACAAGCGAUGUUGGAGCAGUGCUGAGGAAAGCAGGAGGCAGCAAAUAUGAAAAACUGGAUUCUGAAAUGUUAUUAGCCAUCCCACGGUUGAAGCAGCCCUUACUAAGGAUGAUGGAGCAGAAGAGCAAGAAGCCUCCUUUCUCGAUGGCAUCCUUGAGCCCCUACACAUUCCCUAGACCUACCUACAACUUUUUGUUACCUUAAGUGAAAUAAACCUGUUUCUAUUAAGUUACCAUUGAUUGAGCUUUCUCAUACUCAUUACUGAAGGCAAUCCUAAUCAAAAGAGU